GGGUCAGGAAUCCAAUAAAUCAGUCAGCAACACUCAACCAAAAUGCCAAAGUUUUGAAAACCAAUUUAGUUUACAACAAAAACAUGUUAUCCACUGUAUUGGAAGUCGAAAAUAACAAUGCACAACAAGAAAUGCAAAAUUAAGCCAGUAAGAGUGAAAAGAAAAAUAAAAUAGCUAGCAUAUUUCAUCCUUUUCCCACUUAAAUUGAUUGACAGUGGGUACUCAUUUCCAAUAUAAUGACUGCACCAUGUUAAACUAUUCCAAUGAAAGGGUGAGGCACGUUAAAAAUAAAUAAAUACAAGAGUUGUGAAAACCUAGCUAGAAACUAUUCAAUUCUAUUGAAAGAAAUUGUAAAAUCUAGCUAGAAACUAUAAACUCAAAUUAGAAACUCAAAAAAUCAUUCACAAUCAAGAACUAAAAUUAGUAGACAAGUAAUCAUGCAAAAUCUGUAAAACUCAACUAAGAAAAUCAAUGUAUCGACCUAAACAAGUUUGAAACUAUAAAAGAAAGUUAAGAAAAGAGGAUAGAAACUCACUAUCUAAAAACAUCAAAUAACUAAGAAUCUCACUGUCAAAUCUGAAACAGAAUACUAAAACAGGAUAGAAACUAAAACUAUUCUUAAAACAGUAAAGAUAUCCUACUUAACAU
rnacentral:lncRNA from 1 species